rnacentral:misc_RNA from 1 species
AACGCACAUUGCGCUCUCGACCUCGCGUCGAGAGCAUGCCUCUUUCAGUGUCGGUUUAACCCUCCUCACCUAGACCUUGCGGUCUUACGGUGGACGAUAUGAGGUGUCUGCUCUGUUGCUCGGCGCAAGCGGCGGCGAAAAAAAAGCGCAGUCCCUUGAAGAUGACGGUGGCCCCGCGCGUGUAAACAACGCGCGGUCGGGUCCUCUGUCGCGAUACGACGCCCAGGCGCGCUCGGACGCGGCUCAGUUGGCCGGUCACCUAGCCGUCGAACCCUGCCACCGGCGCAUGAAGAUGCGCCCCGUCGGGCGAACGACACCCUACCCAAACCAUCUGACCUGAAAUGAAGCAAGAAUACCCGCUGAACUUAA